rnacentral:rRNA from 1 species
AGUGAACGCUGGCGGUAGGCCUAACACAUGCAAGUCGAACGGCAGCACAGUAAGAGCUUGCUCUUACGGGUGGCGAGUGGCGGACGGGUGAGGAAUACAUCGGAAUCUACUUUUUCGUGGGGAUAACGUAGGGAAACUUACGCUAAUACCGCAUACGACCUACGGGUGAAAGCAGGGGAUCUUCGGACCUUGCGCGAUUGAAUGAGCCGAUGUCGGAUUAGCUAGUUGGCGGGGUAAAGGCCCACCAAGGCGACGAUCCGUAGCUGGUCUGAGAGGAUGAUCAGCCACACUGGAACUGAGACACGGUCCAGACUCCUACGGGAGGCAGCAGUGGGGAAUAUUGGACAAUGGGCGCAAGCCUGAUCCAGCCAUACCGCGUGGGUGAAGAAGGCUUUCGGGUUGUAAAGCCCCUUUGUUGGGAAAGAAAAGCAGCAGGUUAAUACCCCGCUGUUCUGACGGUACCCAAAGAAUAAGCACCGGCUAACUUCGUG